rnacentral:rRNA from 1 species
UGCGUAGGCGGACUAAUAAGUCAGUGGUGAAAUCUCUCGGCUCAACCGGGAAACUGCCAUUGAUACUGUUAGUCUUGAGUUCGGUUGAGGUAGGCGGAAUGUGUAAUGUAGCGGUGAAAUGCUUAGAUAUUACACAGAACACCAACUGCGUAGGCAGCUUACUAGACCGACACUGACGCUGAGGCACGAAAGCGUGGGUAGCGAACAGGAUUAGAUACCCUGGUAGUCC